UCAUGCAAUGUACAUAUGUUAGCCACUAUUCCGCACGAAGUCGAAGAUGUACCUUGUACCAGUCUUAUUCUCCGUUGUAUUUCCUGCUGCUGUCAACAGUGCUAGGAAAGGCGGCGACUGUAAACCAGAGGCAAAGGACCAAGUUGCAUGGCAGGUGGUGAAGGCCCUCGAGGAGGAGACCUUCUAUCUCUUCAAGGCAACUAACGACGCCAUGAGCACAUGUAUGUACAUGAAGGUAAAUGAGACGAAGAAUAACACUGGGACAUUGCUCGCCACUACCGGAUAUGGGCGAAGCGAAGAGGCAACAACCGUUGUUGGAGUGGGGAAUCGCCUCCAGGUGGGCAGCGAAGAAUACGCUGCCCUUCCUGUAUUGUACACCGACAACUCCACCUGUAGUGUUUUUACCUCACCAGAUGAAAACGGUGGUGUCCUUCUGUGGGUCGCUGGCAGCACUGGAGCAAACGCUACUUUUCAUCAGUGCUGCAAGAAAGUCUUCAAAAGGGAAGCGAAGAAAGCGAACCACACCAUAUACCACAAGUUCUCCAAGGCGUGCCUCAAGCCUCCUACGUCUCGGUUAACUGAGUGCUUUUUGUCAGAUGUUAUUCCUGUUGAUCUUGUGUGAACGAAAAAGAAAUGUGACCGUGAAGUGCACAUGCUCACUUUCUAACACGCAAUUUAGUUCGCAGAACUGGCAUUAUGCAGGAUGUUCCAACUAACAUUCAUCAAGAGAGAGAGAGAGACUCCGGGUAUUUCGCGAAUGAGACCUACCGAAUGUUUUUGGCCGUCGUGCAUAAGAGCGUCCAACCUUUUUUCCUUUUUGUUGUUGUUGUUGCUCAUUACGUUUCUUUUUACAGAAAGGGCCGUGAAAAGAGACUAUGUAAUGUUUUUGGUAGUAGUUUAUACGAGCAGGUGGACAUUCACUCGGAGACAGUAGGAAAGUACGAAAUGACUCGUUACCUAACAUGAAAUUCUUACUGUUUAAUAUGGGGAACCUGGGCAAAACCGAGACUGUAUACAACUCGGCACAGCGAAUGAAUUCCUUUCGUUCAUUUUUUUAAAAACCUGAAACAAAUAAAGACGUUGAAAUAUGAGUUGCCGAAUUUUGGAAUGCAAAGGAGCCGAAACCGAAAGGAGAGCGGACAAACCGUGGACAACGAAACAACAACAGGUGAAAUAAAUAUUCUAACGAGCGAGAAUAUUCUAGCGAGACUCUCUCAAAGAUGGUAUUACGUUUAUGUAUGCAUUAGGUGGUAUUUAUCAGUGAUGGCCAGUAGUUAAUUACAUGUAGUUAAACUACUAGUCAAACUACCUGAUUGUAGUUCAAAAGUAAUUAUGAACUACUGGCAGAAAUGUAGUGUGCAACUACUAGUUAAACUACUAUUUCGAGUAGUUAGCUACUGUUGUUAGGUUACUGCAGGCGCCAACUACUUCCGAUUUUGCCGCAAGCUUUACGGCACGACUGUGCUUCCGACUUUUACCUUGAGCUACUUGUUUGAUGAGAACGGAGGUGCAGAGCAGUUGUGCCGUGCAUGUGUACUAAAUCUUCACUUUGAUCGCUGCUUGUGAUUCAUAUUUACGUGUCCAAGGACACUAUAGAAUGGGAUUGGCGUUGAAGGACAACGUUAAGUAGUUAGACAGGUAGUUAAAAUAUAUUGCAGUAGUUCAAGAAAUAAUUUUAAGUGCCUCCGCGAAGUAGUUAGUAGUUAGAGUUAAACCACUGUAGAAGUAGUUAGCGGCCAUCACUGGUAUUUAUAUCCCAACUAAACGUAUGGAAAACAUCUGUAGGAGUUUCAAUUGUGUCAAGAAACAGUCUCAGUCUUCCUGGAAUACAAGGAGUUUCCUGCUGCUUUUCUGAUGUGUUUUAAUUAUACGCAUUUUUCUUCUGUGGCAGUGAUGUUAGAACAAUCAAAGUUUCAUGUCAGACAUGCAAAGUGCUCUUUUGAUGGUGACCUUUUCAUUUCUAUUCCACUUCAUUUCCCGCACGUGCUACAUUGGCCCGAAGGUCGGGGAGCUAAUGAAAUAUGCGCAGUUUUGGAACGAGACAUUACGUACACACGUUGAAACUUUCCACCCAUCAUCACGAAAUAAAGUUGUUGUCGUUGCUUUACGCAGUGCAUGGCACCAACGAUUUUUUCGUACGUUUCCUUGGCACAAAAUUGUUUACUGUGUGGUAACGGAAGCCUGUCUCUCGAGUAGAUAUAGCGUGACGCGCGAAGUGGCGCAUUUUUUUUUUUCGUAUUUGUAUCUGCUCCCCGAUAGUUCCCCACAGCUGACUUCCGAUAGUUUUCUUAUUAUCGUAGUUCGAUCACGCAACUAUAAAUAGUAUCGAUAGUUUUCUUACUAUAGAUGGUUCAAUUCUCAUAAGACUAUCAACAAUAUCGAUAGUACUAUGGAUAGUUUUCUUCCUAUGGAGAGCCAUAUCGAUAGAUGUCUUACUACCGAUAGUUCGAUUCUCAUACGACUAUCAAUAAUGCCGAUAGUACAUAGUUUUCUUAGUCGAGAGUGCUAUCGAUAGAUGCCUUAUACUACCGAUAGUUCAAUUCUCAUACGACUAUCAAUAAUAUCGAUAGUACAUAGAUAGUUUUCCUCCUAUCGAGAGUCCGCUAUCGAUAGAUGUCUUACUACCGAUAAUUCGAUUCUCAUACGACUAUCAACAAUAUAUAUAGUACUACAGAUAUUUUUCAUAAUGUCGACAGUGAUAUCGAUAGAUUUCUUACUAUCGACGGUUCGAUUCUCAUACCACUAUCGAUAGCGUUGCACCACUACUCGGCAGCACGUUUCUCAAACAAGGUAACGAACAAUGGCACGUGUUCUAGGCAGGCAGGAAGUGGCCAUUAUGUGUUAAAACUGGAAUUGAUAUGUCAAGAUGUAUACGUUGAAGGCUGUCAUCGCGUGAUGGGCGCCUUCCGUAUGUUUACAAAGGAUAAAUAUCAUCCAAUACAUAUAUAUACGGCAAGUACACACGCGCACUCGCAAACGAACACCUUUCUUGAGGGUUCCUUGAAAGCAGCGCGCGAAAGAUGUACCUUACAGCCGUCUUGUUCUGUGUUUCACUCAUUGCUGCUGCGGGCAGUGCAAAGGAAAAAAAAGAAUGUCAACUCGAGGCAAAGGACCAAGUCGCAUGGGAGGUAGUGAAGGCUUUGGAGCGGCAGACCUUUUAUCUGUUCAAGUCAACUAACGCCCAGUCGCCAAAUUGUUCAUACAUGAGGGUCAAUGAAACGAAAGAGAAGGAUCAUACAGCGACGUUGGUGGUUAGAAGCGGGGGAGAGUGGAAUGAAACAUCUGCAGCAACAGUUGUUGGAAAAGACAAUCACCUCAACAUGACCCUCGAAGAAGACGGUGCUUCUGAAGUCCUAGGUUCCUAUCCUGUAUGGUACACCGACAACGUCACCUGUGUCGUUCUUGUCGACCCAGAGGAGAACGAAAUCGUUCUCUGGGUCGCUGGUAACACUACAACAGACGCUUCUUUUGACGAGUGCUGCACGAACAUCUUCGAAAGGGAAGCGAAUAACACAAACGGGACCAUAUACGAGAGGUUCCCCGCGAGCUGCCCUUUAUAUAAAGCGUCGGAUGUGGAAGAAAUCGAAGACAUCGAUUCUUCUACGUCUUCUACGACCUCUACGUCUUCGUGAACUGAUCGCCUUUUGUCAGACACUUUUUUUUCUCGAAACCUAGAAGUGCUUGAUGUAAAAUAAAAUUUAGAAAAAAAAAAAAAACAUGAAGUGCACAUACA